GCCGGAGUGGCGGAACCGGUAGACGCGCCGGACUCAAAAUCCGGUUCCCUUCGGGGAGUGUGGGUUCGAGUCCCACCUCCGGCA
rfam:Rubrobacter xylanophilus DSM 9941, complete genome.